rnacentral:rRNA from 1 species
GCAGAACGACCCGCGAACACGUGAACAACACCGGGGACGCGGGCUUGCCCGCGGACCCUUGCCGUCGGCGCGCGCGCCCGCCCAACCGACCACCUGGUGGCAGGGAGGGAGCGUGCGUGCGUCGUUCGGCGCCAAACGAACCCCGGCGCGAUCCGCGCCAAGGAAAACUUAACUCCAAGAGCGCCUCGUCCUCCCGUCGCCCCGUCCGCGGUGUGCGCACGGUCGGGCAGUCGCUUCUUAGUGAAAAACACAAACGACUCUCGGCAACGGAUAUCUCGGCUCUCGCAUCGAUGAAGAACGCAGCGUGAAUUGCAGAAUCCCGUGAACCAUCGAGUCUUUGAACGCAAGUUGCGCCCGAAGCCGUUAGGCCGAGGGCACGUCUGCAUGGGCGUCACGCAUCGCGUCGCCUCCCUUAACUCGACUGUUUACAAAACAAGUCCGGAAAGGGGGAGCGGAUACUGGCCUCCCGUGCCCUGCGGCGCGGCUGGCUCAAAACGGAGUCCCCCGCGAAGGACGCACGACAAGUGGUGGUUGAUAACAAGGCCCUCGCGUCCCGUCGUGCGCACGUCCUGCGCUGGGUUGGCUCUCGUGACCCUGACGCGUCUGGGCUUCGGCCCGAGGCGCUCCGACCGCGACCCCAUGUCAGGCGGGACUACCCGCUGAGUUUAAGCAUAUCAA